GACGCAAUAAAUUCCUCAGUAAAUGCUAUAUUGACAGAGAAAUCUGAGUUUUCUUGCCUGCGGAGCUGCACCACCCGUGCCUGCAUGUAUCAGGAUGCAUUGUGCGUGAACUUAUGCCACCCAAACCCCAAAUCCCUCCAAAGCCCACCCAGCUCAUGGAGGCGGGUGUUUCUUGCAGCUCUGUGUACAAAGAAUGCCAUCUUAUAAUCUUCGCUCUUCGAUCAGAAAACUGAAAAACGACAUGAAUUGGAUUAGAUUUGACAACAAACAUGCCUUCUCAUUGUAUCGUGCCUGGAUGCGACAACUACAAAAAGAAGAGGAGGAAGUAAGCGUAAACGACCACCGAUUACCAACAGAUGUUGAAUGGUGCAAAGAAUGGCUCCAAGUGAUUAAAAAGUCCCGAAUAUGACAAGAACACACCAACAUCAUUACUGGGAAAUCUUCGGGUAUGCUCUUUGCAUUUUGCAGCAGAUGAUUACAAUAGGGACAUACAGUCAGAGCCGAUGGGAGGAAGCAUCAAGAAAUUGCUUAAGAAAUUGCUGUUCCCACUCUUUUUGGAAGCGAUAUUGGCCAUGGCAAUGGAGAACCCCCAGAGAAGCAAGGUCGAAUAGAGAUGGAAGAACAAACUGCCUCUACCUCUACUGCCACAGGCAGCUUGCCCAGCUGUGGCACAACCUGUUGCUGCUUCAGCCCACAGUCAAGUUUCACUGGAAGUGCUCCACACUGCAGGUUGAAGUACAUGCCCAAGGGAAAGAGAGCAACUUGCUGUUUUUGAGCACAAUGAAAAUAUUGUGAAGAGGAAGCCUGCCACUAAC